rnacentral:rRNA from 1 species
UACGUAGGGUGCAAGCGUUGUCCGGAAUUAUUGGGCGUAAAGAGCGCGUAGGCGGCUCGGAAAGUCGGUCGUGAAAUCCUGGGGCUCAACCCCGGAACUGCGUCCGAUACUUCCGAGCUGGAGGCAGGUAGGGGAGAUCGGAAUUCCUGGUGUAGCGGUGAAAUGCGCAGAUAUCAGGAGGAACACCGGUGGCGAAGGCGGAUCUCUGGGCCUUGCCUGACGCUGAGGCGCGAAAGCUAGGGGAGCGAACAGG